rnacentral:rRNA from 1 species
CCUACGGGUGGCAGCAGUGGGGAAUAUUGGGCAAUGGGCGCAAGCCUGACCCAGCAACGCCGCGUGAAGGAAGAAGGCUUUCGGGUUGUAAACUUCUUUUAUUGAGGACGAAACAAAUGACGGUACUCAAUGAAUAAGCCACGGCUAACUACGUGCCAGCAGCCGCGGUAAUACGUAGGAGGCAAGCGUUAUUCGGAUUUACUGGGUGUAAAGGGCGUGUAGGCGGGACUGCAAGUCAGAUGUGAAACCCAUGGGCUCAACCCAUGGCCUGCAUUUGAAACUGUUUUUCGUGAGUACUGGAGAGGCAGACGGAAUGCCUAGUGUAGCGGUGAAAUGCGUAGAUAUUAGGAGGAACACCAGUGGCGAAGGCGGUCUGCUGGACAGCAACUGACGCUGAGGCGCGAAAGCGUGGGGAGCAAACAGGAUUAGAUACCCCUGUAGUC